UUCCCAGACUCCUACGGGAGGCAGCAGUGAGGAAUAUUGGUCAAUGGCCGGAAGGCUGAACCAGCCAAGCCGCGUGAAGGACGAAGGUGCCAGGCAUUGUAAACUUCUUUUGUCAAGGGACAAAAUCAGGCUCGAGAGCCUGACCGAGGGUACUUGAAGAAAAAGCAUCGGCUAACUCCGUGCCAGCAGCCGCGGUAAUACGGAGGAUGCGAGCGUUAUCCGGAUCUAUUGGGUUUAAAGGGUGCGUAGGGGGGUGUUGAGGCCAGGGUUAAAACCCCGGGGCCCAACCCCGGCGAGCCGUUGAAACUGGCUGUCUUGAGAUGUCGAGAGGUAUGCGGAAUGCGCAGUGUAGCGGUGAAAUGCUUAGAUAUUGCGCAGAACGCCGAUUGCGAAGGCAGCAUACCGGCGGCGAUCUGACGCUGAGGCACGAAAGCGUGGGUAUCGAACAGGAUUAGAUACCCCAGUACC
rnacentral:rRNA from 1 species